UAAACUAACGCAUAUGGUGGAUGCCUUGGCUUGUUUGGCCGAAGAAGGACGCAUACUCCGCGAAAGUCGUCGGGGAGCUGAGUAACAGCUUUGAUCCGGCGGUGUCCGAAUGGGGAAACCCCCCAUGUAGAAGUACAUGGGACCCGGUAAUUUAUUACCGGGGGGGAACCUGGGGAACUGAAAUAUCUAAGUACCCAGUGGAAUAGAAAACGUAAGUGAUUCCCUUAGUAAGCGACGAGCGAACAGGGAAGAGUCUAAACCUGGAUUUAUCCAGGGGUUGCAGGACCUGAAUAUCGAACUACUUGAAGCUAGUAGAACUCUGUGGAAUAAGAGACCAAAGAACGUGAAAGUCGUGUACACGAAAGCAUCAAGUUAUCGUACAGUGUUCCUAAGUAGGUUGGGAGACGGCAAACUCCCUUCUGAAUCUGGGGUGACCACACUCCAAGACUAAAUACCAAACAAGACCGAUAGUGAACGAGUACCGUGAGGGAAAGGUGAAAAGAAGGGUGGAAGACCCCGUGAAAUAGUACCUGAAACCAUAUGCUAACAAUCAGAGAAAGCCCUGCGCGCAAGCGUACGGGUGAUCUCGUGCCUAUUGAAGAAUGAGCCUGCGAGUUUUUUCAUCAUGCAAAGCUUAAGUCCCACCGGGACGGAGGCGGAGGGAAACCGAGUCUGAAUAGGGCGUUGUCCGACUUUGUCGGAAUCAAGUAUGAUGGGAAAGACCCGAAACCGGGUGAGCUUACCAUGAUCAGGGUGAAAUCUCGUUAAACCGAGAUGAAAGCCCGCACCGAUGUAUGCUGCAAGAUGCUCGGAUGAAUUGUGGUAAGGGGUAAUAUGCCAAUCGAACCCGGAGAUAGCUGGUUCUCCCUGAAAUAUAUUUAGGUAUAGGGUCGCGUAUGAACCUGUCUGACAAAUCGCAUUCUACUGCAAGUCAUCAGACUUCGGCAAAAAGAAACAUUUAUUCUUCCUAGAAGUAGUCAAAGCUACUCCUUCGUCAGAAAUAAAGUUCUUUUUGCUCGAAUCUGACUGCCUUUCGUAACGAGUGAGAUUUGUCAGACAGGUUCUAAGCUGUAUGGGGGUAGAGCACUGAUCGGGUGCGCCUGACGCAAGUCAGGUCAUCUAGUCAAACUCCGAAUACCGUAUAGUGUUCCGCGGCACUCAGCAUCUGGGAGCUAAGUUCCAGAAACAAAAGGAAAACAAACCAGACCUACAGCUAAGGUCUCAAAUUGAAUGUUCAGUGGUUAAGGAAGUUUAUAUCCUAAGACACCUAGGAGGUCGGCUCAGAAGCAGCCAUCCUUUAAAGAAAGCGUAACAGCUCACUAGCCGUAGGGUAUAUGCGCCGAAAAUUCAUCGAGGCUAAAACAUUCAACCGAAGCUUAGGGUUUUCGUCUGCUUUUUGCAGACGGGAGCGGUAAGGGAGCGUUCUGUGUGCUUUGAAGCUCAGCCGUAAGGACUGGGUGGAGCGAUCAGAAGUGAGAAUGCAGGCAUGAGUAGCGAAAUUGGAGUGAGAAUCUCCAACUCCGAAUGACCAAGGUUUCCGCACCCACGUUCGUCGUGUGCGGGUUAGGCGACCCUAAGGUGAGCCCUGUUUUCAGGGGUAGCCGAUGGAUUACUGGUUAAUAUUCCAGUCCUUGGUAUAGAUCGUUAUUACUUGGGGAGGGACGAUGAUGGAUAAUUUGUGCCCAGCGGUGAAAGUUGGGUCUAAGCACUAAGGCAGUCUGAAUAGGCAAAUCCGUUCAGGCGUUUAUCAAAGGUGUGAUGGGGUUCUUGAGCCUUCGGGCAAAGGAAUACAAAUGACUUCAGCAUCCUGGAAAAGCUUCGCAAGGAGAGAUAUAUCAAAUCGUACCGAUAACCGACACAGGUGGUCUGGUCGAGUAGACUAAGGAGAGCGGGAGAAAGUAGUUUAAGGAAUUCGGCAAAACAACUAGGCGUAAUUUCGAGAGAUGCCUUCCCCUUUGCCGCAAGGUAAAGGGGCGCAGUGAAUGAAGUGGGAUGGACUGUUUACCAAAAACACAGGUCUGUGCAAACUCGUAAGAGGAAGUAUACAGGCUGAAGCCUGCCCAGUGCCGGAAGGUUAAGUGCGAGGG
rnacentral:rRNA from 1 species